ensembl:lncRNA
GUGUUUUAUGCCUGUUUACAAACACUAUCUACAGGUGUGAGGUUCUGCUAGUCUGGUUGUUUAUGCUUUACGACACUACUUUUUAGCCAGAGGCAACAUGUUUUUUUAUUUUUUAAAUGUUAUUGCUCGAGGUUGAACGGCUAUUACUACACAGGAGAAGGGGGAAAAAAGUCGGAGAAAAUGUCGUUCGUCCACUGAACACUACAGGAGGGAACGAUGGAGAAUUGAACUGAAUACAUGUCUCUUGUUCAGCCUAAGCGAAGCAUUGACGGAGAAACAUGGUGAAUACUUUCGGAUGUCCUUUGCCAGAUUUGAGGACUUGCUUCAAGCGGCUGGCCUCUCACAUCUCGCACAAGAGAACUCGACAGCUUGCCCGUCAUUUCUGCAGAAAGGCUGUCUGUUACCCUUCGGUUUUUGGCGAGUGGCAGCAAAGUAUCGCUGCAAAGUAUAAUUUAUAUUCUAGGAAUCUCGACAGUUUGUGCCAUCAUCACUCACAGGCAGCAGAGAACUGGAAGGAAAGGCGGCCAAAUGAGGUGUUGGCUUUAGGGAUGAUCAGUGAGAUACACCUGCUGGAGCGCGUGCUACGGAUGGGUGUUGCCAUCGUGACCAGUGAACUGAGAUAAGGCGGAGCUUUACCUAGCAUGGACUUGUAGAUGACCUGGAGCCAGUGGGUGAUGAAAGGGGACAUAAGAUAAAACACUUAUGUAAACACCAGUACGUACACCAGUAACAUGUGAAACAGGAAAUGAACUACCAUCCUGAAGUAUGACUAAAAAUAAAAAGCACAGCAGUUUUUUGGGGCGAGACAAACGGGAGACGUUCAUCAGUAGGAAUAAACACCAUCCAUGUUACCGUGACGUCGACGGGCUCAGUUCCAUCUCUUGGCUAUCAACCCCCCUCCCUCCCUCCAACACCUACAAGCAGAUGACAAAUACAAUGACAGCAAUUGUAAAACAUCCACCUGGGCUCCUUUGAGUUCAAAUGUUUACCCAAAAUACCUGAUUUCACACUGUCGUCUUGUUUUCUGACGAUUGGGCUAGGUGUUGCAUGUCUAGUGUGGGGGCUAGGUGUUGCAUGUCUAGUGUGGGGGCUAGGUGUUGCAUGUCUAGUGUGGGGGCUAGGUGUUGCAUGUCUAGUGUGGGGGCUAGGUGUUGCACACACACGUUCUGGACAUUGCAACAGUUCAUUCAUGCAUAGAUCAUCAGAAACACUACAAACAUACCACCAGCAUGUAUACAGGUUUCAGACCACCAGCAUGUAUACAGGUUUCAUACCACCAGCAUGUAUACAGGUUUCAGACCACCAGCAUGUAUACAGGUUUCAGACCACCAGCAUGCAUACAGGUUUCAGACCACCAGCAUGUAUACAGGUUUCAGACCACCAGCAUGUAUACAGGUUUCAGACCACCAGCAUGCAUACAGGUUUCAUACCACCAGCAUGCAAUGCAACGGUCAUUGACAGCUGUAUAAGAUGCUUGGUUAGUAUAGCCAGAGUUGAUGUCUCAAGAGAUACAUUAGAUAGAGUUGUAGCUAUAAAUGAUCGUGUUAGGGUUAUAGAGAGGUAUAAUGUUAUAGCUACCUCAACCAUAAUGUUCUUCUCUGGGGAUUUUGUAGAGACAUUGCAUCUCUUCUUGGCACCCCUGCCUGUAGUUGGUGGGCUUUCUUCCCGUUGACGCUUCUUCUCGGGUACCUCAUUCACGGAAUCACAGUUAAAACACCUGGUCUUGGUAUCACUAACAAAAAAGCUGUUAGAAUUGUAAGUAUAUGCAUGUCCCUGUGUAAUUGUAAUGUGAUAUUGUACCCCCUAGCGCGAUUGUCCAUGGUUUGUAAUCUAUGUAUGCUUGUGUUCUCUCAUGUGCUUUAUGUAUUGAUUUGUUGUUAAUAAUAAAACAUUUAAAAUAAUAAAAAACCUGGUCUUGGUAUCAUCUCUUCCGGUCUCUACUGGGCCUUGUUGGGAAUUCAUAACUUCUUCGCCGGGAGUUCCAAACGCCGGUGUUUGCGUUGUAGCUUUCCAUGCAUGUAACACAUGCAUGGUCUUUUCAACCUUACUAAUGUUACGAAAACACUUCUGACAUCAUUGUCGAUGUAUCUUCGUGCAGUGUCAGGUUUAUGCCGAGGGAUGAUAACCUAGUCAGAAUGGUACAAUUCGACUUUGACACAAGGGAACGCACAUGUUGGAGCGCACCAAAUAUCCUUCGAUUUUGGUCGCAGAGACGGCAUCUAUCAAGAUGGUUUGCAGCUUUAGGCAUAGUUCAACAAAACAGUGGCGCAACUAAACUGUACCAUAACAAUGUCAACAAACUGAAAACGUCUCAUCCCG